rnacentral:lncRNA from 1 species
AUUUCUUUCCACUGAGGACUUUUCCUCAAUAUCUCAUAAACUUCCUUCACAAAUCUCUGUCCAACAGCCACAUCAUGAGAAGGAUGAUCAUCGUUCGCCGGAGAUAACUUGAUAUCGAAGUAACGCUGUUCAACCACCACAUAAUUAGGUAACUUCCCUUUCAUAGCAUGUGUCUUAAACUUCAAACCAUAGCUAUGAAACUUCACAGUGUUCUUUAACUUUCUUAAGCUUUUGAAAAAUAGUGUUGCAGGGAUAUUUUGGUAAUAUAUACCGAAAUUGAUACCGUUAUCGUUAAGAGAAUCGAAAAUUGUGCGUUGAGGAAAACCAUGGAUGAGAUUCUUCUUAACGUUACUCAUAGCACCGUGAGAAGUAGCGGAAUGAACGUAAAACCGGUUCGGUUG